UACAGAGGGUGCAAGCGUUGUUCGGAAUUAUUGGGCGUAAAGCGCGUGUAGGCGGCUUUGCAAGUCGGGUGUGAAAGCCCUCAGCUCAACUGAGGAAGUGCGCCCGAAACUGCAGAGCUUGAGUGCCGGAGAGGGUGGCGGAAUUCCCCAAGAAGAGGUGAAAUUCGUAGAUAUGGGGAGGAACACCGGUGGCGAAGGCGGCCACCUGGACGGUAACUGACGCUGAGACGCGAAAGCGUGGGAAGCAAACAGG
rnacentral:rRNA from 1 species